CCACAGGCAGAUUAUGUAAAGGGCAGGUAGGGUUCAAAUUUGGAAAGACAUGUCCACGUCUGAAUCCUGCUCCACUCCUCACCAGCUGUGGUGCCUUGGAAACUGUGUGGAUCUGGCUGGGAGUCCCUAAAACGCCCCACUCCACCCUACGCCACACCACAGACAACGGAGGAAAGGGUCCAGGUGAGCUUCAGACCACGUCUGAGCCAGCCACACCCAUGGAACACAAAGAAGUCUCUCAUUACAGAAAAGGAAAUCUGACCCAGCGAUUCCCCUGCUUAAAACACCUUUCAGUGACGCGUUUGGCAGGAGGCGGUGGAGGCAGUGAGCAUUUGGAUCCAGGGAACAUUCCACGUUCUAGAACAAUCAUCUGUUUAUUGAUUGAUUUAGCAAGCAUUUAAUUACCACUUCCUGUGUGCUCCGCACAUGUUACUUCAUCUUCGCAGCAAGCUUUUAGGACCGUGUAUUUGUUCUGCUUUAUUAUGAACCACCCCAACCUUAGUGGCUUCAA
rnacentral:lncRNA from 1 species